ensembl:lncRNA
UUUUUUUUUUUUUUUUUUGAGACGGAGUCUCGCUCUGCCGCCCAGGCUGGAGUGCAGUGACUGGAUCUCAGCUCACUGCAACCUCCACCUCCGGGUUCAUGCCAUUCUCCUGCCUCAGCCUCCCGAGUAGCUGGGACUACAGGCACCCGCCACCUCGCCAGGCUAGUUUUUCGUAUUUUUCAGUAGAGACGGGUUUCACCGUGUUAGCCAGGAUGGUCUCCAUCUCCUGACCUCGCGAUCCGCCCGUCUCGGCCUCCCAAAGUGCUGGGAUUACAGGCUUGAGCCACCGCGCCCGGCCAUAAAUUCAUAUUUACAUCUGGGGACAAAUUAUCAGGCAUCUACAAAUUCUCCAUGCAAAGGUGUUUUACUCAUUUAGAUUUUAGUUUGUUUUUAUGUUGAUGUUAAUCUUUUAAAAAGCUUAUGUGAUUAUAUUUAGGGUCAUCUGAAUAUCCUCUUUAUACCUGUUAGGCAACGUGUAUGUUCAUGGUAGCAUUAGUGCCAAAUAAUUCAAAUUCACUUGUUUACAAGCUACUGAAAACAGAUGCAGGCAGACUUAAUAUGUAGCUUCCAUGCUCUUCCAAAAGAAAGACAAGUGACAAUGGAAAAAAAUUUGAACAAAGAUUUGGUAAUAGUUUGACUCCAGAAACUAAAGGAACAUCCAGUCAUUAAAUGGCACACUGUAUCACUGGUAAGCUGAAACUUUAAAAAAAAAAAAAAAAAGGAAUCUUGCCAGUUAGCACUAAGUGUAAUGAUUUAACAGUGUUCAUCACUGUCAAUUAAUAAGACUAUUUAUAUUGGUUUUGUGUAUAUUUAUUGCAAUUGUUUAAAUAGUUACAUGAAAACUGUAAGCUUAUGUUUACACCUAGAUUCGUAUUUCUAUAUAUUUAAAUGUUAAUAAAUUAACAUAAAUUAGCUUAAAAAUAAUAAGCUGACACUUGAGUGUGGCCAGUGAGAUCAGAACUCAGAAAAGACACAACUCAGGUUGUCUUCUCUCUGUACUUUGCUGUCUGACUCUGGGCAAGUCAAAUGACCUCACCUCCCCUAUUUCUUCACAGCAAACUAAGAAUAAUAAUUUCAUUCACACAGGACCAUUGCGAGGAGUACGUGAAAUAAUGAAUACAACCGGGAAUGAAUGCCUUCUCAGGUGGAGUGUGUUGUGGACAAUAAGAUAUCUGAAUCAAGAGUCUGUACUUUCAGCCUACAUUUUGAUGCCACGUUGGGUAAAUCUCCUUACUUCUAUGGUAGUCACCAUUGUUUUUUAAAGUUAGGAGAUUAUCUCAGUUCCUUUUAAAAUAGCUUUUAUAGAAGGUGGUUGGGUUUUCCACUGGAAUUUCAAAGUACUCCCCAUUUCUGUAUCAUGCCCACAGUUAUUUCGGUUUCCAUUAGCUUUUUUUAAAACUUACUGAGGGACAAAAACGUUAAGAUUCAUUUGUGAUCAAUGCAGCAAUGUCCAAAUAUAAGCAGAGUUAAAAGAGCAAAAUUAUCCCAUCUAUCAGAGAAACUUUAAUAUUUUUCUUUGCUUCGUUGUUUUAUCUGGUAUAAUGGAAGGGCAGAACUCAUAUCUGAGUCUUCUCUCUGUUCUUAGCUGUAAUCCUAGCAAAUUAAAUGACCUCUUUACACUGGCUAAUUAUUCAUCUGCCAAACAAUUAUAACAGCCACCAUUGAUCACGUACGAGCUUACCCAAUGCCAUGCGUGCACUGUGUUCUCAACGUGCACACCAGGCGAACUCUCUCAUUUAGUGCUCACAAUUUUGAGGUGGACAUUAGGUCCACUUAACCGAUGAAAAAACUGAGGCUGAACAAAGUUAAAAACCUGUCAUGCAGCAUCUGCAGAGCGGAGGUUCUAAAAACACCUCACCGUAAGAAAGAACUGCUAACAAACAAUAGCUCUGCCUCUAAACACCCGCUUUUCGUCUAAUAUUCACAGAUGGGCAUUUGGAACGUCAAAGGGCCAGAAGCCCUUAGAACCUUCAGGGCUGCAGUAAAGCGGCUGCACCAAAUCCCAGAGCAACUCCCUCGAAAU